CACAGUUUUCUUCCUGUUGGCUCACUCACUCUUACUCCACCUACAUUCUGGAACCUGCCCCCAAUAUACCUAAUACUACGCACACCUGGCACCUUAGCGAUGCACUGUUGGCCCGUGACCUCCAUAUCCUCUGGGAGAGAGGAGGCAUUCCCAGUGUCUGGAUAUUGGAGAUGUCCAGCAAUCCGAGAUCCAGAGCCCAGAGCCCAUCAUGUUGAACAACAGCCUACAGUGAUUGAAGAAAUAGGAAACCCUCACAGCUGCAUAUCUCCAAAGCUUGUCAAAACACAGCCCAUGCUGAUCUCAAACUUCGUAUGUAGGUGAAGAUGACAUCCAACUUCCUGGUCCUCUUGCCUCUGGAGUGCUGGAAUUGUAGUUAUGUUCUCCAAAGCUCAGCUGGACUUCUUUUGUU